GGGGGCGAGGGCCGCGGAGAUGUCGGCGGUGGCGUCGAUGGCGGUGGCGUCGAUGGCGCAGACCCAGGCCUCCAGCAUCCCCAGGCCCCUGCUUCCUGCCCAAUUCCUCACAAUAAUCAGAGUUACUGGCUGCUACUGGUAACACAGGCCUGGAGCACCACAGGACACCACAUUACCAGGCCCACCACGGGUAUUACCCUGCACAAACCCAGGAGCCACAGCACCCUGACAGUGCCCUGCUGCUCCUGCUGGACCUGCUCAGCCAGAAACCACUGGCCAGUGUUGUCCCCAGCGAUGGCAUCUCCUCACCAGGCAGCACAAGGUGGAGAUGGUGCGGGGGCAGGAGCUGGCUGCAAAGCAGAAGAUUAAUUAAGAGGCUGUGCCACUGCCUCGCUGUGAUCUCAGUAACUGAACCGUUAAAGUGAUUUAUUCUUCGAAGGGUAAUUACAUUCCCCCUUUCCAUGUUAUCCAUCCCCUGAUCUGUGCUGCACACACACCCAGUCAGGAGCAGGCGUGUGGCCCGUGAGUCCAUGUGUCAGAGGGGAGAUGGCCUGGCUGCCCCUUCUGCUUCCUGUGCCUUGGUGUUACUGCUUCUGUAGCACACAGAGAAGUGCUUGUGUGGAUUGUGUGCUGUUGGUGUGGAUUGUGUGCUGUUUGUGUGGAUUCAAUGCUUCCAGACCCUCACACAGCUCUGGGAUCUCUCCAUGGGCCACUAUGGCCGGACACAGCAGUGCUGCUGCACCACUGAUUUUGACUGAGGGUCCAGCCUGGCUUUGUAUUUUGUUAUCAAUACCCAUUUCUGCUGCAUUCUGUGCUGUCAGGUUUCUUGCUGCAUUUUUAAAGGUACAUUUCACAUGGACAAGUUUGGGAAACUCCUAUGCAGAGCUCUUGUCCUAACAGUCCCAGUGAAGGCAGGAAUGAGUAGGAGCCUUUAAAAUCAGACAACCACAGAACCAUAGCAUCAUUAAUAUAAGAAAACAUUUUAAAGAUCAAGUCCAAUUGUCACCCCAGUAUCCCACCAUGUUCACCACUAAAGGAUGUCACCACAUGUUUUUUGAACACUUCCAGGGCUGGGAACAUUUACAUUUAGAGUAUUAGAAAUAGUAUUUUUCAAAGGAACAGUCCUUUUCCCUGUGAAAUCUUUCAUUUAUUAAUAAUAACCAGGCAUUCAGUACAGCUGUAUUCUCUCUUAAAACACUGCAUCCUUUCCUUUUCAGCACCAUUUCCCCGGCACAUCACUCCCCCCCUUUCUGGCCCAGCUGCUUCCACGGAUUUCAGCGUCACACUUUUCCCUCGGGGCCGUGCAGCCUGGCCGCCUGCCCGCUCCCUGCCCAGGCCUGUCCUGCUCGCGGGUGCUCCUUUCGGGCCGGGAACAUUAGAGGGAGCUGGAGACUCGCCGUGCCCGGCUGGAUGGCUGGAGGCGGCUGGCAGGAAUGGCCUGCAGGCACGUCCCAAGCGCCGGGGGGUCACUGGCCGUGUCAUCCCACACGUAUCCAGCUCCGGGAGUGCCGCUGAGGGGCUCCUGCUCUUCCUGGGAGGUGCUGGAUCACCCAGCCCAGCCCAUGCUGCUGCUGGAGGCUGAAGUUUAGUCACCAUAGCAUUCCCUGCUCCAAAAUCCCAGCAAAUUCACCCUCGACAAACUGUCGAGAGGUCGGUGUGCCUGCCAGGGAGGACGGGUGCUUCUCCAUCACCUGGGGUGGGGAUUCUGCACCCGUUCAAUCCUGGUCUUCCCAGCACCACCAGCCUGCUCUGUGCCAUGCUCACAGUGCCAGCCCUGCCACCCUGCAUCUGACAGAUCCUGGCUAUUCAGCCCGUGGUAAACUAAAUCAGGGUGGUUUGUGUUGUGGCAGGAGCCAGAAGCUUAACUCGAGAGCAGUGUAAGGAAACACAGACAUGGCCCUCAGGGACAAUGGAUCUGUGUGGGACACUCACCAUGACACUGUGGGAUGGGGUGACAGGUUUGCUGCAGCAACCCAGCACCAACCCCACGGUGAUCAGACCAGAGAAAUAAAAAGAUGAGUGUCCUACAGGAGACUUUACCACCCCAAAAAUAAACUUGGGAACGAACACUCCUGUAAAAGGCCCGGUGUCAUUAUUUCUGGGUCUGGUAGCCAACAGAUUCCUUCAGAGAUCAGGCACUGGGCAAAGGCAGUGCUGUUUUAGCUGGGCCAUUCACAGCAUCACCCCAGCAGUAAUGCUGGGCAGGGAAAUCGCUGGGGUUCAGCUGGUGGCAUGAAAGCUGACCCCAUCCAGGGCUGGACAUCAAGGGUGUCACAAGGCUACAAGCAGCUGGAAUGAAACCAGUGGGACCAGAGUCCUCAGAGUUGGAGAGCAGAGAACAUCUGGCCUUUCUUCACCUCAUGGAGGCAGAAAAAAACUUUAGAAUGUGUUCUCCAAGCAAAAGCUGGAAUUGUGUAUUCCAAGCAAAAGCCAGGCAGAUGCAGCUCUCCCCUGGCUGAGCAGCUCACCUCAAAGGAGGCAUUUUAGGGUGUAAGAAGCUCCAAGGAAGACUGCAUGGCAAAGACAGAGACAUCCUGGGUGUGAGGCAGAGGAGGGCAAAGUGGGACCUGCCAAACCCUGUGACUGAGCACAAAACCCUGAUCCAAACCUCCAGCCAGGUGAGAAGGUGACUCACAAGGCCCAGGGCCCACUCCAGCCACGGGCACAGCUCUGGUGGGUUUUGGGAAAACCUGGCCCUGCUCUGCUCCCACUGACUGACCACAGCUCCCAUUGCCCGUGCAAUGCCACCCAGAGCUGGAAUCCUGUGGCAAAGCCAGACCUGCACCCGUGGCUCUCCAAAAUUCACACUUCACCAUCCAAAAUGACAAACUAGGCUGACCAAGGCCUUUCCCGGACAGUGGAGGAAUCAGGCGUGCCAUGCUGUGCCAGUGCCACUGAGGCUCCUGGUGCAGAGGGAGCAGCCACAGGAAACACAGGCAGGGCCAGACCUGUGUGCUGGGCUCUGCUGGAGCUCACUCACUCCCUGAGAUGACUUCAGAAGGAGAGCCUGCACACACCAGUCAAAACCACACCAAAAUGGCACAUCCUACCAAAAAACCACCCCAGAUGGCUGGUUUGGGUUGCCUGGAUAGGAGACAUGAUUCUCUGCAAAAUGCACAGGAGUUCUUUCCUUCUCUGCCCCAUCCCAGAAAACAUUUUAAAAGCACAAAAAGGAAAAUAAAAUAUUUUUUUGAUCCAAAGCAGCUGUUUUGCAUCAAAACACACUUCACACCUUCCACUCCGCAUUGUCCAGUGCGUGUCUGGGGUUCACUGAUGGUUCAGGAGAGCAGUCUGGUCUGAAGGAAUGCAUGUUACUCACUCCAGGGUGGUUUUUUGGGUAGACGUUGAACCACAAUGUUGGUUAAUCAUCCAGCUCAUCAUUUGUCACAGCAGAGCCGGGCUCAGACCCAAAAUACUGAGGACACUUCAUCUCUGCUCCUGCCCAGCUGCCUCAGUGCCCUGUGCUGAGGGCAGAUGUGACCCCACCAGCCACCCCAGCGCUGCGGCCACUCAGAUCCUACCGUGACCUGAUGGCUCUGCUAAAUCCUGCAGACAGGCACGAGCCACCACGUCACCCAAAGCCCGGCUGACCCCCUGCGUCAGCCAGGCCACCCCGGUGGCUCGGCAGUGGCCCCUUCCCUGUCCCUCUGGGCCAGCGUGGGCGGCACGGCGCUGCUCCUGCUGCGGGGCUUUUCUCCAAUGCAAAUCCACACCAGGGUAUUUAUAGCACCCUUAUCCCGGCGGAGCCUAUUUUGGGCUGAUGCUCAGGCACCAGAGCAGCACAGGUUAUUUUAACCCAGCGCUGGGUUAUUUUCAGAGUUGCCCUUCUCUGCACGUGCUCAGGAAUGGUUUCCAACUACCAGGCGUUUUCUGGGGUUGGGGAAACUGGGGAAGGGGGAGAAGAGGGACCAUGUGAAGGAAUUUCAGAGAUUUAAAGAUAAACCAGCAUCUUUGACACACCUGUCUGGGAUCCACCUGGAAUUUUGGAAAGAGGAUUGCCUGCAGGAGAACUCUUGAGCAAAAGGCAGGAGAGGAAAGAUCUCUGAAGCACACAGCUGAGGGCCCAGUGAUGGUGAAACAACAUGCAAGAGAGGAAGAAGGGCCAAGAGCUGGAUGCUCCUAAAAUGUCCAGGGUCACAAGCUGUUGGCCCCAGGCCCAGGAGGGAGCAACAGCUUUGUUCAACAGAGGCAGGAACAGCACCAUGGGAUGGGACAUGCUCCUCAUCCUCAGCAUGGAGGGAACCCCAGCUCUGUUCUCACCACAUGCCAUCCUGGAACAGCCAGGGAAGGGAGACCUCUGGUGUCAUCCUGUCCUGAUCCAGAUGCUGCAAGACGCAUCUGCAGCAUUUACCAAGCAGUGAGCCUGGAUUCUCAGCAGUGCUGCAGUGGGGAUCUCUCAGCUCAGAGCUGGGAGCAGCAGCUGGUCCAUGGCAGAGCCCACAGCCCAUUCCCCAAAGCAGGGGUGCCAUGGAUGGGGUUCUGCCAGGGCAGCAGCACCAUGGCAACACACCCAGAGGGAUCCAGCUCCAUCCCCCAGGAUAACAGCAGGGCUAGAGAAGUCAAGAUUUAAAAUGUUUAUUUUAAAUUCCACAAGGUCUUGCCUUGUCCAUGUAAGAAGGCUCAGCCUUUUUCCCAGCCUCCAGUGCCCACGACCUUCCCUAUCCCACCACACUUUCCUCUUGCCUGUGUCCCCCCCUGACCCAUGGAGGGGUGGGGGAGAUGUGCCAGGAGUGUCUCUGGGGGUGGCAGGGCAGUCCCAAGGCCACUGGGUGCAGCUGGCAGGGAGCACAGUCCUGCCCCGUGACCUCCAGCUCCCAUUGGGAUUGAGAGGAUCACACCAUCCCGCUGGGAAAAGUGAGUCAGGGCCUGAGCCUCUGCCAGCCCCUAUUCCUGGCCUCCCACCCCAGCCACACGCCCAGCCCCCGUGGGCCAGCCCCAGGCUGGGAAGGACCAAGUGAGAGUUGGGGAGGAUUAGGGGGAGAGGAGCCCCUGGAUGGGGUGCCACCCACUUCCCAACCCCCCAUGCAACACGCCCCACCUGCCACAGCCACCUGCCCACCAUAUAGGUCUCAAUGCAUUUUUAUUAAAUUCUUACAAAACAGAAUACAAAAUUCUGGCAUCAACAAUUGUUAUAAAGGAAAACUUCAAUUCAGCUGUAUCAGGUCACCUGGUACAUACAGUAAAGUGCUUCUUUUUGUGUGUUUGUUUUUUUUUUCUUUUUUUUGUUUUUGUUUUUUUGUCUUUUUUUUUUUUUUUUUUAGAUUUUCAUUUUUAUUUCCCAGCCAGCCCCUGAGCAGAGGCCGCUGUUGCACAAACCAACAGUGCGUUAACGUGACUCUUGUUGAACCAGCUUUGGCAGUCUUCAUCAAUUGUAAAGUGGAGAAAGUUUCUCCUGGUUUGAUAAAAAAGAGUUAGCUUCACAGUAAACGUUUCUAACCAGUUCUAAGUCGAGUUAGUUGGCUGGAGGAAGGGUGGGGGGGAAGGAGAGGAAGCGAAAACACUUAACAUUUCCAGCUUAAAAAAAAAAA